rnacentral:rRNA from 1 species
GCAGCCGCGGUAAUUCCAGCUCCAAUAGCGUAUAUUAAAGUUGUUGCAGUUAAAAAGCUCGUAGUUGAAUUUCGGAAUCUGUCCGUUGGUCGGGCUUUAUUGUCCGUACUGAUGUGAUGGGUUCUUACCUUCUGAAUAACCAGCAUGUCAUUAAUUUGGUGUGUUGGGGAAGCAGGACUAUUACCUUGAAAAAAUUAGAGUGCUCAAAGCAGGCUAGUGCCUGAAUACAUUAGCAUGGAAUAAUAAAAUAGGACGGCAUGGUUCUAUUUUGUUGGUUUCUAGGAUCACCGUAAUGAUUAAUAGGGAUAGUUGGG